rnacentral:rRNA from 1 species
GACGAACGCUGGCGGCGUGCUUAACACAUGCAAGUCGAACGGAAAGGCCCUGCUUUUGUGGGGUGCUCGAGUGGCGAACGGGUGAGUAACACGUGAGUAACCUGCCCUUGACUUUGGGAUAACUUCAGGAAACUGGGGCUAAUACCGGAUAGGAGCUCCUGCUGCAUGGUGGGGGUUGGAAAGUUUCGGCGGUUGGGGAUGGACUCGCGGCUUAUCAGCUUGUUGGUGGGGUAGUGGCUUACCAAGGCUUUGACGGGUAGCCGGCCUGAGAGGGUGACCGGCCACAUUGGGACUGAGGUACGGCCCAGACUCCUACGGGAGGCAGCAGUGGGGAAUAUUGCACGAUGGGCGGAAGCCUGAUGCAGCAACGCCGCGUGCGGGAUAACGGCCUUCGGGUUGUAAACCGCUUUCGCCUGUGACGAAGCGUGAGUGACGGUAAUGGGUAAAGAAGCACCGGCUAACUACGUG